UUUAUUCAAUAUUAACGAAGUAUUAUUUUGAAAUUGGAUAUAAAAAAUAAAAAAAAUUAAUAAAUUUGGAUUUCAUAUGAAUUUUAUCGGUACAGAUCCAAAUUUGAAUUCGAAUAAAUUUUACAUUUUAUAUAAUAUAUAUAAAUAUUUAAUAUUAUAUUUAAAAGCCUGUAUUUUUAUCCAUACCCACUCACGUCUUUUUUUUUACUCCUAUAUUUUUUAAAUACAAAAUACAUAUGCAUAAUUUUAAAAGAUCAUAAUAUAACUUAUUGUUUAAAAUAUCAUAACAUGCAAUAAUUAGUAUAAAAUCUUAAAAUGUAUAAACUAUAUGUAAAAAUAUUUUACAUAUAGACUCGGGUACCAACGGAUGAUGACAGAGCGGUGCAGUGGCGAGGUAGUGCGGUAGGUGAGAUAGCCAUCGUGAAGAAAAAGACAUGAGGAGAAAUUAGAUUUGGAGUUUUUAAAAAAGAGCAGAGAAAAUAAAAAAAUUAGUAUUCACUAGUUUAACGAAUAUCUAUCCAUUUUAUUCAUAAUUUUUUAUAUAAGAAAACUUACUAUUCAUAUUUGUAAAUAUAUGGAUAACUUGUAGGUACCCGCGAGUACGGAUAGAAAUUAUAAGGUCUAAUAAAGAGAAAAGAUUAUUUCCGCCUCGUAUUUUCGGAUUCAAAUUUCAGAAUUUUGAAAGAAUUAAAUUUUGAACAUAAAAUUUUAAAAUUUAUCGAAUUCAAAUUUGGUUGUGGGAUUCGGUUUGAAUUUUUGAAAAUUCAC
rnacentral:lncRNA from 1 species